GGCCGUGGUGCGCAGGCGCAGUCUGCGCAGGGACUGGCGGGACUGCGCGGAGGCGACUGCAGACGUAUCGGGGGUCCGGAGCCUGUCGCGGCUGCUAAGCGCUCGGCGCCUGGCGCUGGCGCUGGCCAAGGCUUGUUGCAAACAGGAACCCGAGGUGUUCACUUCACUGUUGAAGGAACGAGAGGGCAUCUGCUAAAGUUUCAGAUUCCAUUUCUGCUCAGUAUCCAGUAGUGGAUCAUGAAUUUGAUGCAGUGGUGGUAGGCGCUGGAGGGGCAGGCUUUGCGAGCUGCAUUUGGCCUUUCCGAGGCAGAGUUUGAUACAGCAUGUGUUACCAAGCUGUUUCCUACCAGGUCACACACUGUUGCAGCGCAGCUAGAAAAUUAUGGCAUGCCGUUUAGCAGAACUGAAGAUGGGAAGAUUUAUCAGCGUGCAUUUGGUGGACAGAGCCUCAAGUUUGGAAAGGGCAGGCAGGCCCAUCGGUGCUGCUGUGUGGCUGAUCGGACCGGCCACUCAAUAUUGCACACCUCAUAUGGGAGGUCUCUGAGAUAUGAUACCAGCUGUUUUGUGGAGUAUUUUGCCUUGGAUCUCCUGAUAGAGAACAGGGAGUGCCGUGGUGUCAUUGCACUGUGCAUAGAGGACGGGUCCAUCCAUCACAUAAGAGCAAAGAACACUGUUGUUGCCACAGGAGUCAAGAAACUUUUCUUUUGAGCUAUUGACAGCUUUUAACAAGUUAUUAUACUCCUAUGAACAAAAUUUGGAGCAUAUUUGUUUCUCUCUGCCUGAUUUCUCCUGAAUUUGGAAACUAUUUGACAUGAGGAUUCUCAACCUGAUAAAAAUGAGCUUUCCUAAUAACUCAAGACCCAUCUGCCUAGGAAUAAACCAUCCCAGCUGUGAGAGACCAGACGAAACCUGAGACCAGAGACUCGUUUUCUUCUAAAAUGCUUUCUCCAAAAGAUUUUUAAACAGAAAAAGGGGGAAAUGUGAAAGGAAAAGAAAACUUGAGGCCCCCAAAAUCACUAAGCUAAAAGGAAAAGUCAAGCUGGGAAUGGCUUAGGGCAAACCUGCCUCCCAUUCUAUGCAAAGUCAUCCCUCCGUGCACUGAGAUAAAUGCUUAUCUAAUUGCCUCCUUUGGAGAGGCUCAUCAGAAACUCAAAAUAAUGCAACCAUUUGACUCUCACCUACCUGUGACCUGGAAGAUCCCUCUCUGCUUGAGUUGUCCUGCUUUUCUGGAUGGAACCAAUGUUCAUCUUACAUAUAUUGAUUGAUGUCUCAUGUCUCCCUAAAAUGUAUAAAACCAAGCUGUGCCCUGACCACCUUGGGCACAUGUCGUCAGGACCUCCUGAGGCUGUGCCACAGGCAUGCAGCCUCAACCUUGGCAAAAUAAACUUUCUAAAUUGACUGAGA
ensembl:lncRNA SDHAP4 SDHA pseudogene 4